CAACUUCAAGAAAAGUCGUAACAAGGUCUCCGUUGGUGAACCAGCGGAGGGAUCAUUA
rnacentral:rRNA from 1 species